CCUACGGGGGGCAGCAGUGAGGAAUAUUGGUCAAUGGACGAGAGUCUGAACCAGCCAAGUAGCGUGAAGGAUGACUGCCCUAUGGGUUGUAAACUUCUUUUAUAAAGGAAUAAAACGAGGCACGUGUGCCUUUUUGCAUGUACUUUAUGAAUAAGGAUCGGCUAACUCCGUGCCAGCAGCCGCGGCAAUACGGAGGAUCCGAGCGUUAUCCGGAUUUAUUGGGUUUAAAGGGAGCGUAGAUGGGUUGUUAAGUCAGUUGUGAAAGUUUGCGGCUCAACCGUAAAAUUGCAAUUGAUACUGGCAGUCGUGAGUACAGUUGAGGUAGGCGGAAUUCGUGGUGUAGCGGUGAAAUGCUUAGAUAUCACGAAGAACCCCGAUUGCGAAGGCAGCUUACUAAACUGUGACUGACAUUGAUGCUCGAAAGUGUGGGUAUCAAACAGGAUUAGAUACCCGAGUAGUC
rnacentral:rRNA from 1 species